rnacentral:lncRNA from 1 species
AUCGGCUCAUACCAGAGCCAUCUGAUCGCAUGCUAUAGCCUCAGAUCAAGUCUUAUCAUGCUCGAAAUCAUCCUCAACCAUCCGAUCAUGAAUGGCUCACUCUAGAGCCAUUGGAUCAUGCAAAAUUGCUAGUGGAUCGUGCAUGGACUACAUGAUCGGUCCAUGCGGCCUCUAUGGACCGCCCAGCACCCUGCGGUCCA